CCAGGGACAUUUUCGAAAAAGAUGAUGGCAGGAUAGUACAAUUUGUCGAAUGGGCCACGCGUGUUGUUGCAGUCACAUGUAUUUUUAUGAGCUCUAAGGACACUCCUUUGGCUGUGGUAGCAGUCUGUUCUUGUUUAGCACUAUGUGAUGUGAUUACUUCUAUCAUGAAUGGUGGACACAUUUGGAGGUGAAGGAUGUUACUCGACUUUUCAUAAAAUACGAAAUAGAAAGAAGUUCUCAAAGAAAGAAUGUGAUGAAUUGACCCGACAAUCAAUUACGGAGUGGGCAUCUUCCCUUGAAUCUGAGGACUGCGCGAUCAAGAAUACUCAUCGAAUCAAAUUUUCUCCUAAUAAUGGUCUAGAUGGUUAGAGGUAGAGAAUGCAGGGUUGAUACUUGUUCCUUUUUGGGGUUUAGGUCAAAAGUCACCUCAUGUGUAUUCUCAA